rnacentral:rRNA from 1 species
AGCGAACGCUGGCGGCAGGCUUAACACAUGCAAGUCGAGCGGGCAUCCUUGUGGUGUCAGCGGCAGACGGGUGAGUAACGCGUGGGAACGUGCCCUUCGGUUCGGAAUAACUCAGGGAAACUUGAGCUAAUACCGGAUACGUGCGAGAGCAGAAAGGUUUAUCUGCCGAUGGAUCGGCCCGCGUCUGAUUAGCUAGUUGGUGAGGUUAUGGCUCACCAAGGCGACGAUCAGUAGCUGGUCUGAGAGGAUGAUCAGCCACACUGGGACUGAGACACGGCCCAGACUCCUACGGGAGGCAGCAGUGGGGAAUAUUGGACAAUGGGGGCAACCCUGAUCCAGCCAUGCCGCGUGAGUGAUGACGGCCUUAGGGUUGUAAAGCUCUUUUCUCCGGGACGAUAAUGACGGUACCGGAGGAAUAAGCCCCGGCUAACUUCGUG